GGGUCGCUAGUUCAUCGGUAGAACGCUUUCCUGAUAAGAAAGAGGUGCUAAGUUCGACUCUUAGGCGACCCA
rfam:Microgenomates (Levybacteria) bacterium GW2011_GWB1_39_7 TT56_C0014, whole genome shotgun sequence.